rnacentral:rRNA from 1 species
GAUGAACGCUGGCGGCGUGCCUAACACAGGCAAGUCGAGCGAUUUACUUCGGUAAAGAGCGGCGGACGGGUGAGUAACGCGUGGGUAACCUGCCCUGUACACACGGAUAACAUACCGAAAGGUAUGCUAAUACGAGAUAACAUGCUUUUAUCGCAUGGUAGAAGUAUCAAAGCUCUGGCGGUACAGGAUGGACCCGCGUCUGAUUAGCUAGUUGGUAAGGUAACGGCUUACCAAGGCGACGAUCAGUAGCCGACCUGAGAGGGUGAUCGGCCACAUUGGAACUGAGACACGGUCCAAACUCCUACGGGAGGCAGCAGUGGGGAAUAUUGCACAAUGGGCGAAAGCCUGAUGCAGCAACGCCGCGUGAGCGAUGAAGGCCUUCGGGUCGUAAAGCUCUGUCCUCAAGGAAGAUAAUGACGGUACCUGAAGAAGAAGCCCCGGCUAACUUCGUGCCAGCCGCCGCGGUAA